UGGGGAAUUUUGGACAAUGGGCGCAAGCCUGAUCCAGCCAUGCCGCGUGAGUGAUGAAGGCCUUAGGGUUGUAAAGCUCUUUCGCCGGUGAAGAUAAUGACGGUAACCGGAGAAGAAGCCCCGGCUAACUUCGUGCCAGCAGCCGCGGUAAUACGAAGGGGGCUAGCGUUGCUCGGAAUCACUGGGCGUAAAGCGCACGUAGGCGGAUCGUUAAGUCAGGGGUGAAAUCCUGGGGCUCAACCUCAGAACUGCCCUUGAUACUGGCGAUCUCGAGUUCGAGAGAGGUUGGUGGAACUCCGAGUGUAGAGGUGAAAUUCGUAGAUAUUCGGAAGAGCACCAGUGGCGAAGGCGGCCAACUGGCUCGAUACUGACGCUGAGGUGCGAAAGCGUGGGGAGCAAACA
rnacentral:rRNA from 1 species